CGUGUAGGCGGUAAGAUAAGUCUGGUGUGAAAUAUCUCGGCUCAACCGAGAAAACGCACUGGAAACUGUUAAACUAGAGUAUAGGAAGGGAAGCUAGAAUUCCAAGUGUAGGGGUGAAAUCUGUAGAUAUUUGGAAGAAUACCGGUGGCGAAGGCGAGCUUCUGGCCAUAUACUGACGCUGAUAUGCGAAAGCGUGGGGAGCGAACAGGAUUAGAUACCCUGGUAGUCC
rnacentral:rRNA from 1 species